GACGUGCUUAUAUGCUUGCUUCUAUGACGUUGGCGGCGGACGGGUGAGUAACACGAGGGCAACCUGCCUGUGAGACUGGGAUAACUUCGGGAAACCGAAGCUAAUACCGGAUAGGAUCUUCUCCUUCAUGGGAGAUGAUUGAAAGAUGGUUUCGGCUAUCACUUACAGAUGGGCCCGCGGUGCAUUAGCUAGUUGGUGAGGUAACGGCUCACCAAGGUAACGAUGCAUAGCCGACCUGAGAGGGUGAUCGGCCACACUGGGACUGAGACACGGCCCAGACUCCUACGGGAGGCAGCAGUAGGGAAUCUUCCGCAAUGGACGAAAGUCUGACGGAGCAACGCCGCGUGAGUGAUGAAGGCUUUCGGGUCGUAAAACUCUGUUGUUAGGGAAGAACAAGUACGAGAGUAACUGCUCGUACCUUGACGGUACCUAACCAGAAAGCCACGGCUAACUACGUGCCAGCAGCCGCGGUAAUACGUAGGUGGCAAGCGUUAUCCGGAAUUAUUGGGCGUAAAGCGCGCGCAGGCGGUUUCUUAAGUCUGAUGUGAAAGCCCACGGCUCAACCGUGGAGGGUCAUUGGAAACUGGGGAACUUGAGUGCAGAAGAGAAAAGCGGAAUUCCACGUGUAGCGGUGAAAUGCGUAGAGAUGUGAGGAACACCAGUGGCGAAGGCGGCUUUUUGGUCUGUACUGACGCUGAGGCGCGAAAGCGUGGGGUAGCAAACAGGAUUAGAUACCCUGGUAGUCCACGCCGUAAACGAUGAGGUGCUAAGUGUUAGAGGGUUUCCGCCCUUUAGGUGCUGCAGCUAACGCAUUUAAGCUCCUUCGCCUGGGGAGUACGGUCGCAAGACUGAAACCUCAAGGAAUUGACGGGGGGCUCGCACAAGCGGGUGAGCAUGUGCUUCAUUCGAGCAUCGCGAAGAACUUACAGGUCUUGACAUCUCUGACAACUCUAAGAGAUAGAGGCGUUCCCUUC
rnacentral:rRNA from 1 species